GUGAGGGCAAGGGCAGGAUAGGCAGGUGGUGGGGAUUUUCGAGUGAGACUAAGGCAUUCGGAGGGUAGACAUCUAUCAGAAGGCCAGGGAAGCCAGAUGAAGGAAUCCCCUCCAUCUUGCCUUGGUUUGCACGUGGACGGGCCCACCAUCCCUGUGCGGAGAUGUGGAUGCAGUAACUUAGCCUCUAAUGGGAUCGGGGAAUAUUUUUCUCAGAAGAACCACUGAGAACCCACGAGGGACGUUUCUUAAUGAGUGAUAGUCACGUGGGAUUUUAUUGUGUGGAUUCACCUUAUUGUACUUAAACUUCCUGGAUGGGCAAUUAGAUGAGACUGAUGGCCCAUGGACUACAUCUGGAAGAGCUUCAGUUUAUGACAAGUUGAAAAUACCAGCAGUCUCAGCGAACAGUACUAACUCCACUUCAAUUAUCAUUUGUUCUGAAAAUCCUUUCUCUAAGGUCAUUGUUCAGACUUAGCAGAGGCUGGGGAGCGCACAGUGGGUGCUCUGAAAGCCGGAGCUAACCCCCGCUCAGAAACCUCGGCCUCGUGACCUGCUGUCCACUCUCCCGCCUGAGUUGUCCUCGCCUGGAGCAACAAAUGCAGCAACAAGGAACCUGCACCCAGAGCUUCCUGGGGACACAGCCCCGAGCGGGGCGCAGGCCCUGUCCGGCUGCCAUCACCACCUACGCGAUCGCACUCAGUCAUCACAGGCCCGGGCCUCAGACUGCGUGUCACUUUCCAGGCCCUCCUCCCACAAAAAUUCUAGCCUCCCAGCCUCCAGGGCGCUUAGUUCACCCCAUAAACUCGACUAAUGCUUACCACAUGCGGCGGAGCUCCGCCGACCGCGCCCACCUCGCUUUGGCUCAGAAUCAGCAGGAGACCCUCCCUCUAGAGGACCCUCCCCUGGGGGACCCUUG
ensembl:lncRNA